AGAGUUUGAUCCUGGCUCAGGACGAACGCUGACGGUGUGCUUUAGACAUGCAAGUCGAACGAGAAAGCCCUUCGGGGUGAGUACAGUGGCGAACGGGUGAGUAACACGUGGGCAAUCUGCCCCUCGCAGGGGGAUAACCGGGGGAAACCCCGGCUAAUACCCCGUACGCUUGUGGAGUCGCAUGGCUCCGCAAGGAAAGGUAGCUUCGGCCAUCCGGCGAGGGAUGAGCCCGCGGUACAUUAGCUAGUUGGUGGGGUAACGGCCUACCAAGGCGACGAUGUAUAGCUGGUCUGAGAGGAUGAUCAGCCACACUGGGACUGAGACACGGCCCAGACUCCUACGGGAGGCAGCAGUCGGGAAUCUUGCGCAAUGGGCGAAAGCCUGACGCAGCAACACCGUGUGAGCGACGAAGGCCUUCGGGUCGUAAAGCUCUGUUGUUGGGGACGAAGGGUUAGGGGUUAAUAGCCCCGAGCCUGACGGUACCCUUCGAGGAAGCCCCGGCUAACUACGUGCCAGCAGCCGCGGUAAUACGUAGGGGGCGAGCGUUGUCCGGAAUUAUUGGGCGUAAAGAGCGUGUAGGCGGUUCGGUAAGUCUGCCGUGAAAACCCAGGGCUCAACCCUGGGCGUGCGGUGGAUACUGCCGGGCUAGAGGGUGGUAGAGGCGAGUGGAAUUCCUGGUGUAGCGGUGAAAUGCGCAGAUAUCAGGAGGAACACCGGUGGCGAAGGCGGGUCUCUGGGCAGUAACUGACGCUGAGGAGCGAAAGCGUGGGGAGCGAACAGGAUUAGAUACCCCGGUAGUCC
rnacentral:rRNA from 1 species